rnacentral:rRNA from 1 species
UUUUGGUCCUAAACUUGCCGUUGUUUUUGAUCAAAAUUACACAUGCAAGCAUCCGCAUCCCAGUGAGAAUGCCCUUAUAAAGCAACAAGGAGCAGGUAUCAGGCACAACAAUUUAGCCCAAAACACCUUGCUACGCCACACCCACACGGGCACCCAGCAGUGAUAAAUAUUAAGCAAUGAGUGAAAGCCAACAUCAAGCUCGACUUAGUUAUGAUCAUAUAGGGCCGGUAAACCUCGUGCCAGCCACCGCGGUUAUACGAAGGGCCCAAAACAACAGACAUCGGCGUAAAUUGUGACUAGAGUAAUCACUUACAGUAAUGAAAGGUAAAAUAAAAUCUAACCGUAAAACCCAGACUAAAAGAAACCCGCCCUUCCAACUAUAGAGUGACUUGAACCCACGAAAACUAAGACACAAACUAGGAUUAGAUACCCUACUAUGCUUAGUUAUUAAAACGACACCACAAUACACCCGUGUCCGCCAGAGAAUUACACGCGAAAAGCUUAAAACUCAAAGGACUUGGCGGUGCUCCGUAUUCGUCUUAGAGGAGCCUGUCCUAUAAUCGAUACUCCACGUUUUACCUCACCAUCUUUUGUCAAAACAGCCUAUAUACCGCCGUCGCAAACUUACCCCAUGAGGGCAAAAUAGUAAGUAAAAUAGUACAACACUAACACGUCAGGUCAAGGUGUAGCUUACAAGAUGGAAGAGAUGGGCUACAUUUUCUAAAACAGAACAUACGGCAAAGGACAUUGAAAUUUAUAUCCUAAAAGGUGGAUUUAAUAGUAAGAUAGUAAAGAAAAACUAUCUAAAACUCGCUCCGGAGCGCGCACACACCGCCCGUCACCCUCCUCAACUAA